rnacentral:rRNA from 1 species
UACGUAGGGUGCGAGCGUUAUUCGGAAUUACUGGGCGUAAAGGGCGCGCAGGCGGCUUCGCAAGUCAGGCGUGAAAUCCCCGGGCUUAACCUGGGAAUGGCGCUUGAAACUACGGAGCUGGAGUAUGGCAGAGGGAGGUGGAAUUCCACGUGUAGCGGUGAAAUGCGUAGAGAUGUGGAGGAACACCGAUGGCGAAGGCAGCCUCCUGGGCCAAUACUGACGCUCAUGCACGAAAGCGUGGGGAGCAAACAGG